ensembl:misc_RNA 7SK 7SK RNA
GUUAAGGCGAUCUGGCUGUGACAUCUAUCACCCCAUUGAACGCCAGGGUUGAUUUGGCUGAUCUGGCUGGCUAGGCGGGUGUCCCCUUCCUCCCUCACCACAUGUGCGUCCCUCUCGAAGCUGCGCUAAACAACCAUCCCUGCUAGAGGAGGACCGGUCUUCGGUCAAGGGUAAACAAGUAGCUGCGCUCCCCUGCUAGAACUUCCAAACAAAUUCUCAAGGAAUAAUAGACCCCAAGGCAGCAUUUCCAAGUUGAUAUCUCAGAGCUACUGAGUGGGCCUGGCACAUAGCUCAUUGGCUAAAUCC